rnacentral:rRNA from 1 species
GACGAACGCUGGCGGCGUGCUUAACACAUGCAAGUCGAACGGAAAGGCCCUGCUUUUGUGGGGUGCUCGAGUGGCGAACGGGUGAGUAACACGUGAGUAACCUGCCCUUGACUUUGGGAUAACUUCAGGAAACUGGGGCUAAUACCGGAUAGGAGCUCCUGCUGCAUGGUGGGGGUUGGAAAGUUUCGGCGGUUGGGGAUGGACUCGCGGCUUAUCAGCUUGUUGGUGGGGUAGUGGCUUACCAAGGCUUUGACGGGUAGCCGGCCUGAGAGGGUGAUCGGCCACAUUGGGACUGAGAUACGGCCCAGACUCCUACGGGAGGCAGCAGUGGGGAAUAUUGCACAAUGGGCGGAAGCCUGAUGCAGCAACGCCGCGUGCGGGAUGACGGCCUUCGGGUUGUAAACCGCUUUCGCCUGUGACGAAGCGUGAGUGACGGUAAUGGGUAAAGAAGCACCGGCUAACUACGU